UACGAAGGGUGCAAGCGUUACUCGGAAUUACUGGGCGUAAAGCGUGCGUAGGUGGUUUGUUAAGUCUGUUGUGAAAGCCCCGGGCUCAACCUGGGAAUGGCAAUGGAUACUGGCAGGCUAGAGUGCGGUAGAGGGUAGUGGAAUUCCCGGUGUAGCGGUGAAAUGCGUAGGAGAUCGGGAGGAACACCAGUGGCGAAGGCGGGUCUCGUGGGCGAGUAACUGACGCUGAGGAGCGAAGCGUG
rnacentral:rRNA from 1 species